rnacentral:rRNA from 1 species
AGUGAACGCUGGCGGUAGGCCUAACACAUGCAAGUCGAACGGCAGCACAGUAAGAGCUUGCUCUUACGGGUGGCGAGUGGCGGACGGGUGAGGAAUACAUCGGAAUCUACUUUUUCGUGGGGGAUAACGUAGGGAAACUUACGCUAAUACCGCAUACGACCUACGGGUGAAAGCAGGGGAUCUUCGGACCUUUCGCGAUUGAAUGAGCCGAUGUCGGAUUAGCUAGUUGGCGGGGUAAAGGCCCACCAAGGCGACGAUCCGUCGCUGGUCCGAGAGGAUGAUCAGCCACACUGGAACUGAGACGCGGGCCAGACUCCUACGGGAGGCAGCAGUGGGGAAUAUUGGACAAUGGGCGCAAGCCUGAUACAGCCAUACCGCGUGGGUGAAGAAGGCCUUCGGGUUGUAAAGCCCUUUUGUUGGGAAAGAAAAGCAGCAGGUUAAUACCCCGCUGUUCUGACGGUACCCAAAGAAUAAGCACCGGCUAACUUCGUG